GAUGAAGAACGUAGCGAAAUGCGAUAAGUAAUGUGAAUUGCAGAAUUCAGUGAAUCAUCGAAUCUUUGAACGCACAUUGCGCCCCCUGGUAUUCCGGGGGGCAUGCCUGUUCGAGCGUCAUUUCACCACUCAAGCCUCGCUUGGUAUUGGGCAACGCGGUCCGCCGCGUGCCUCAAAUCGACCGGCUGGGUCUUCUGUCCCCUAAGCGUUGUGGAAACUAUUCGCUAUAGGGUGUUCGGGAGGCUACGCCGUAAAACAACCCCAUUUCUAAGGUUGACCUCGGAUCAGGUAGGGAUACCCGCUGAACUUAAGCAUAUCAAUAAGCGGAGGA
rnacentral:misc_RNA from 1 species